CUUGGUCAUUUAGAGGAAGUAAAAGUCGUAACAAGGUCUCCGUUGGUGAACCAGCGGAGGGAUCAUUGCUGGAACGCGCUUCGGCGCACCCAGAAACCCUUUGUGAACUUAUACCUACUGUUGCCUCGGCGUCAGGCCGGCCUCUUCACUGAGGCCCCCCGGAGACGGGGAGCAGCCCGCCGGCGGCCAACUAAACUCUUGUUUCUAUAGUGAAUCUCUGAGUAAAAAACAUAAAUGAAUCAAAACUUUCAACAACGGAUCUCUCGGUUCUGGCAUCGAUGAAGAACGCAGCGAAAUGCGAUAAGUAAUGUGAAUUGCAGAAUUCAGUGAAUCAUCGAAUCUUUGAACGCACACUGCGCCCCCUGGUAUUCCGGGGGGCAUGCCUGUUCGAGCGUCAUUUCAACCCUCAAGCCUGGCUUGGUGAUGGGGCACUGCUUCGAGAGGAGCAGGCCCUGAAAUUCAGUGGCGAGCUCGCCAGGACCCCGAGCGUAGUAGUUAUAUCUCGCUCUGGAAGGCCCUGGCGGUGCCCUGCCGUUAAACCCCCAACUUCUGAAAAUUUGACCUCGGAUCAGGUAGGAAUACCCGCUGAACUUAAGCAUAUCAAUAAGCGGAGGA
rnacentral:rRNA from 1 species